rnacentral:rRNA from 1 species
GGAGAACUGAGGGGGGCUGCUCCUAGUACGAGAGGACCGGAGUGGACGCAUCACUGGUGUUCGGGUUGUCAUGCCAAUGGCACUGCCCGGUAGCUAAAUGCGGAAGAGAUAAGUGCUGAAAGCAUCUAAGCACGAAACUUGCCCCGAGAUGAGUUCUCCCUGAGACUUURGGUCUCCUGAAGGAACGUUGAAGACGACGACGUUGAUAGGCCGGGUGUGUAAGCGCAGCGAUGCGUUGAGCUAACCGGUACUAAUGAACCGUGAGGCUUAACCUUACAACGCCGAAG